AAACUGCAGUUUACUUUUAUACAGUGCUGAUUUUAUUGUCAAAAUUCAGUCUUACAGAUCGUCAAACUAAUAUUAACAUCAGAGAUAGGUAAUAUGGGUAAAUAAACAAAACAAUCCAAACACCUGUUUUGAAAAUGACCUAAUCCAGAGAAAU